AACGAACGCUGGCGGCAUGCCUAACACAUGCAAGUCGAACGAGACCUUCGGGUCUAGUGGCGCACGGGUGCGUAACGCGUGGGAAUCUGCCCUUGGGUUCGGAAUAACAGUUAGAAAUGACUGCUAAUACCGGAUGAUGACUUCGGUCCAAAGAUUUAUCGCCCAAGAUGAGCCCGCGUAGGAUUAGCUAGUUGGUAGGGUAAAGGCCUACCAAGGCGACGAUCCUUAGCUGGUCUGAGAGGAUGAUCAGCCACACUGGGACUGAGACACGGCCCAGACUCCUACGGGAGGCAGCAGUGGGGAAUAUUGGACAAUGGGCGAAAGCUUGAUCCAGCAAUGCCGCGUGAGUGAUGAAGGCCCUAGGGUUGUAAAGCUCUUUUACCCGGGAUGAUAAUGACAGUACCGGGAGAAUAAGCCCCGGCUAACUCCGUGCCAGCCGCCGCAGUAACAC
rnacentral:rRNA from 1 species